rnacentral:rRNA from 1 species
AGUGAACGCUGGCGGUAGGCCUAACACAUGCAAGUCGAACGGCAGCACAGUAAGAGCUUGCUCUUACGGGUGGCGAGUGGCGGACGGGUGAGGAAUACAUCGGAAUCUACUUUUUCGUGGGGGAUAACGUAGGGAAACUUACGCUAAUACCGCAUACGACCUACGGGUGAAAGCAGGGGAUCUUCGGACCUUGCGCGAUUGAAUGAGCCGAUGUCGGAUUAGCUAGUUGGCGGGGUAAAGGCCCACCAAGGCGACGAUCCGUAGCUGGUCUGAGAGGAUGAUCAGCCACACUGGAACUGAGACACGGUCCAGACUCCUACGGGGGGCAGCAGUGGGGAAUAUUGGACAAUGGGCGCAAGCCUGAUCCAGCCAUACCGCGUGGGUGAAGAAGGCCUUCGGGUUGUAAAGCCCUUUUGUUGGGAAAGAAAAGCAGCAGGUUAAUACCCAGCUGUUCUGACGGUACCCAAAGAAUAAGCACCGGCUAACUUCGUG